rnacentral:pre_miRNA from 1 species
AUCACCUGGAUGUCUUGUUAAAACGCAGAUUCUGAUUUAGUAGGUAUGGGAUGUGAACCAAGAUUCUGCCUGUAUAACAAGCUCCCAGGUGAGGCUGA